GGGUAAAAAAUGCAUGUUCUUUUAAAUGAGUUGCUGUCCUUUAUUGAGAAUGAAUUAAAGGAUAUUUUCUAGACUAUAUAUUUAUGUGGAAAUUAAGGGGUGUUAAAAAUAAAAUAAAAUAAAAUAAAAUAAAAAAAUAAAUAAAAAUCAGAAAUAAAUACACUCCUAUGACCCAUUCCUCUAGUUGCUUGAUCAAUUGGUUACCAACCCGAUGGCCCAAGUAGUGCGGUACUUGGUGACCCCUUAAGGUAAAUUCUGUAUGGAGAAAUCGGUGUUUGGGAGAGUAUCACCCCUUUUGGGCCGUUUAAAAACUCGCCCAUACCUUUUUAUUGGGUAAUUAUGAGUGGAGCUAGUAGCCACCUGAGCUGAAUAACCUGGGGCAAGUGGCUCAGUAACCAUUUGUUUCACGUUCACUUUAUCGGUUUCAGGCAAGAUAUAGUAGGAAGUGUAAAUAAUAAAUAAUGAACCCCCAAAUCUUUAAAUUUAAUUGGUCUAGUUAAGAGUUCCUAAGAUUCCAUUCUUUAAAAAAGGACAGUUUAAUAUUAUAUGACAUUCUAAUAUUUUAUGUGCUUGAAAUUAAAUUGAGGGCCAACUUUAUGACUUGAGAAAUAUGUUUUAAAUAUGAAACUUGUUGAAGUGAACUUUGGUGAAAUUAAGCUAUUUCUGCUAUCAUCCUAUUGCAUGACAAUUUGGUUUUUUGUUUUGGAUAAAUUAAAUUUCAGAUUGGUUGAGGACAGGGCUGUAUUUCAUUGUUUCAUUUCAAUUUUUGUGCUUGAGGACAAGCAAAGGUGCAAGUGUGGGG
rnacentral:lncRNA from 1 species